GGAUGAACGCUAGCGGCAGGCUUAAUACAUGCAAGUCGAGGGGUAACAUGGUAGCAAUACUGAUGACGACCGGCAAACGGGUGCGGAACACGUACAGAACCUUCCUUUAAGCGGGGGAUAGCCCAUAGAAAUGUGGAUUAAUACCCCAUAGUAAUACUAGCUGGCAUCAGUUGGUAUUUAAAGAUUUAUCACUUAAAGAUGGCUGUGCGGCUGAUUAGGUAGUUGGUGCGGGUAACGGCCCACCAAGCCAGCGAUCAGUAACUGGUGUGAGAGCACGACCAGUCACACGGGCACUGAGACACGGGCCCGACUCCUACGGGAGGCAGCAGUAAGGAAUAUUGGUCAAUGGACGCAAGUCUGAACCAGCCAUGCCGCGUGAAGGAUGAAGGCCCUCUGGGUU
rnacentral:rRNA from 1 species